rnacentral:rRNA from 1 species
GACGGAGGUCCCUAGCGUUGUUCGGAAUUACUGGGCUUAAAGCGCGUGUAGGCGGAAGGGCAAGUACCUUGUGAAAUCCCCGGGCUCAACCCGGGAAUAGCUGGGUAUACUGCCUUUCUUGAGGCAGGUAGGGGUCACUGGAACCUUAGGUGGAGCGGUGAAAUGCGUAGAUAUCUAAGGGAACGCCUGUGGCGAAAGCGGGUGACUGGGCCUGUCCUGACGCUGAGACGCGAAAGCGUAGGGAGCAAACGGG